rnacentral:rRNA from 1 species
UGGGGAAUUUUCCGCAAUGGGCGCAAGCCUGACGGAGCAAUACCGCGUGAGGGAGGAAGGCUUUUGGGUUGUAAACCUCUUUUGUUAAGGAAGAAGCAAGUGACGGUACUUAACGAAUCAGCAUCGGCUAACUCCGUGCCAGCGGCCGCGGUAAUACGGAGGAUGCAAGCGUUAUCCGGAAUAAUUGGGCGUAAAGCGUUCGUAGGUGGUUUUGUAAGUCUGCUGUUAAAGCGUGUAGCUUAACUACAUAUAGGCGGUGGAAACUACAAAACUAGAGUGCGUUCGGGGCAGAGGGAAUUCCUAGUGUAGCGGUGAAAUGCGCAGAGAUUAGGAAGAACACCGGUGGCGAAAGCGCUCUGCUAGGCCGCAACUGACACUGAGGGACGAAAGCUAGGGGAGCGAAUGGGAUUAGAUACCCCCGUAGUCC